rnacentral:rRNA from 1 species
GACGAACGCUGGCGGCGUGCCUAAUACAUGCAAGUUGAGCGAUGAAGAUUGGUGCUUGCACCAAUUUGAAGAGCAGCGAACGGGUGAGUAACGCGUGGGGAAUCUGCCUUUGAGCGGGGGACAACAUUUGGAAACGAAUGCUAAUACCGCAUAAUAACUUUAAACAUAAGUUUUAAGUUUGAAAGAUGCAAUUGCAUCACUCAAAGAUGAUCCCGCGUUGUAUUAGCUAGUUGGUGAGGUAAAGGCUCACCAAGGCGAUGAUACAUAGCCGACCUGAGAGGGUGAUCGGCCACAGUGGGACUGAGACACGGCCCAAACUCCUACGGGAGGCAGCAGUAGGGAAUCUUCGGCAAUGGACGAAAGUCUGACCGAGCAACGCCGCGUGAGUGAAGAAGGUUUUCGGAUCGUAAAACUCUGUUGGUAGAGAAGAACGUUGGUGAGAGUGGAAAGCUCAUCAAGUGACGGUAACUACCCAGAAAGGGACGGCUAACUACGUG